GUGAAUCAUCGAAUUUUUGAACGCAAAUUGCACUUUUUGGUAUUCCGGAAAGUAUGCCUGUUUGAUGGUCAGUUAAAUAAAAAUCGGAGUUGUUGUUGCUUUUCGUGGUGAGGCGUCGGAAUUGAGUUGUCUUACUCUCGGUUAAGUGACUUAAAAUUUUUGCAUGAUUCUCGUUUGUAUCGAAAUAGUAUAUGUAUGUUUGAGAUAUUGUAUGUUUAUUAGGUUGGGUCAUUGUCAUGAUUUGCGUGUAUAAUC
rnacentral:misc_RNA from 1 species